ensembl:lncRNA
GCUGUUAAUAAUAAAUGAACAAACAUUAGCCUGGUAGUUAUGUAACGAAAAAAAAAGGUUCCAAAUUGCUCUGCUUUUCCUUUGGAGGGGAAUGUGAAUAACAGGGCAGAAAAACAAGUGUGAGGAGCUGAGGAUCAGCCCUGUGCCAUCCGCAUUUGCUCCACGUUCUGAUCUGCUGCGUCCUACUGAUGGGAGCCGUGAGCAGCUCAAUGAUUCAUCCCGUAGGUGGCUGCCUGUCACGGGCACUGUACAUCAGUUCCAAAUCCAAACAGCCACGCAUGCCUUCCCACCCAACUUGAGAUAUUUGGGUUUUGGAGUGUAAACUGGAGGUGGGUGAAGUAAGUAUCUGUAUGACAAAGAUAUAAUAUAUAAUCCCCUCAAAACCACCUAAAGGCAGUAGAUUGACUUACAUAGAUAACAAGGAAAUGCUGCCACUCUUUGGUGUGAGAAGUUAUAUUCAGAGUCUCAGCAAAUCACCACCUGCAGGGUACUGCAUCUGGAACAUCCUCUUGAAGGAGAAGCCUUGUCUU